rnacentral:sRNA from 1 species
GGUGCUGAGUACCUGGGGCUGUCAAAGCAGCUUUCCCUAGUCUUUCUUUCUACUUCAGAGUUGUAAAAGGCUAGCUCUGCUGCAUCUACCUUCCCCACAGCUGCUCCCUGCCAGACCUGAUUCCCAAUUAACAGCUAGUCAUGCAGUCCCUAGGACCAGCAGCUUUGCAAUGGUUCUUAUUGCCUCCCAUUUGCCAUCAUAUGAGCUUCGCCAUAACCAAGUAGAGUCUAUCUUCCUAUCAGCUAUUGACAUGUAUGGACAUCAAUUUUGCAUUGAGAACCUGCAGAAACUCAUCCUAUCAGAAACAUCUAUUUUUGAUGUCCUACCAAACUUCUUCUAUCACAGCAACCAAGUAGUGAGGAUGGCAGCUCUGGAGGUGUAUGUUCGAAGGGCUUAUAUUGCCUACGAACUUAACAGUGUACAACACCGCCAGCUUAAGGACAACACCUGUGUGGUGGAAUUCCAGUUCAUGCUGCCCACAUCUCAUCCAAACAGAAUGUCCUUCUCCUCCAACCUCAACCACUAUGGCAUGACCCAUGUAGCUAGUGUCAGCGAUGUACUGUUGG